rnacentral:rRNA from 1 species
UACGGGGGGGCAAGCGUUGUUCGGAAUUACUGGGCGUAAAGGGCUCGUAGGCGGCCAACUAAGUCAGACGUGAAAUCCCUCGGCUUAACCGGGAACUGCGUCUGAUACUGGAUGGCUUGAGUUUGGGAGAGGGAUGCGGAAUUCCAGGUGUAGCGGUGAAAUGCGUAGAUAUCUGGAGGAACACCGGUGGCGAAGGCGGCAUCCUGGACCAACACUGACGCUGAUGAGCGAAAGCCAGGGAGCAAACGGG